GAUGAACGCUGGCGGCGUGCCUAAUACAUGCAAGUCGAGCGAACGGACGAGAAGCUUGCUUCUCUGAUGUUAGCGGCGGACGGGUGAGUAACACGUGGAUAACCUACCUAUAAGACUGGGAUAACUUCGGGAAACCGGAGCUAAUACCGGAUAAUAUUUUGAACCGCAUGGUUCAAAAGUGAAAGACGGUCUUGCUGUCACUUAUAGAUGGAUACGGGCUGCAUUAGUUAGUUGGUAAGGUAACGGCUUACCAAGGCAACGAUGCAUAGCCGACCUGAGGGCGUGGUCGGACACCCGGGAGGUGAGAAAGCGGCCCGACGCCUACGGGGGGCAGCAGUCGGGAAUCUUCCGCAAUGGGGGAGAGCCUGACGGAGCAACGCCGCGGGAGGUAUGAAGGUGUUCGGAUCGGAAAACUCUGUUAUUAGUGAAGAACAUAUGUGUAAGUAACUGUGCACAUCUUGACGGUACCUGAUCAGAAAGCCACGGCUAACUACGUG
rnacentral:rRNA from 1 species